UCCUACGGGACGUAGCAGUAGGGAAUCUUUCGCAAUGGGCGAAAGCCUGAUGGAGCAACGCCGCGUGCAGGAUGAAGGCCUUCGGGAUGUAAACUGCUUUUAUAAGCGAGGAAUAUGAUGGUAACUUAUGAAUAAGGAUCGGCUAACUACGUGCCAGCAGCCGCGGUCAUACGUAGGAUCCGAGCAUUAUCCGGAGUGACUGGGUGUAAAGAGUUGCGUAGGUGCCAUAAUA
rnacentral:rRNA from 1 species